UCUCCUUCUUUCUUCAUUGAAAGAAAAGAGAGGAGGAAUCCCAGAAUUUCAACAGUUCAACACAGUAACAAGAAGACUUCUCCAAUCAUACCAUUUAUUAGUCAAAUUGUCACAUUGUCAUUGUCAAGGCAGGCAUGUGCCUUCAUCUCUGAAGAAGAAGAAGAAGCACAGAUAUAAUAGUUUCAAAGUCUAAAAAUUGUACUAACGAAAUUUGGAAAACAACCAUAUACAAAUAUAAUCGAAAAAGGAACGCUCAAUGCGGUUGGAUUUGAUAUUGGCGUGGUGGAGUCGUGGACGUGGACUGGCAUGGACAAUUAGCUACUCGUCAAAUUAUAGUAGAC